UGGGCAGUGCUAGCUGCGAACCACGGCUGGAGGAAACAGACACGUUCAUGUCUUGCAAAAGUUUGCUUGUAGUUCAUGUGAGCUGAGUUAGCUGACAGGCUAGAGCCAAGACAUGGUGUCUUCAACACCAUGCGUACUUCAGGUGUGAAUUAGACCAUCACAGGAUGAGAGAAAAUUGAGUAAGAUAUUUUAGAAAUUUGUAGUGUGAUUUUCUGAAUACUAGACGACGUGUAAAAUUACUAUAAAUCUCACAUUCCUUGAAUUGUGUCAACUGUACGUUGCAACCUCUGAUUUUCCUGUCAUCAGUGCAGACUGAUCUUAAUAUUAACUCUGGUGUAACAGUAUUCUUGGUGACACCCAAGAAACACUUUUCAAGCCAACUGAAAUAAAUAGGUGCUUCCCUAUGAAUUCAGGACCAUGCAUAUAGAGAGAAUCUGAGGAGAAUUGUGGGGACCACCAUUUCCAGUUGGUACCUCAGUGAAAGAGUGUUCCCAGCAUCUGAGACAUACAGCUUUUGUAACAAUUCUUAGCAAAAUGCCAUGACCUCUGUACAGGCACUGAACUGGGAUGGAAAGAAGAAAAUAUGCUUGAACAGAGGGCAGAGUUAUCCAGAGACAUGGCUUCAGUCCUCCAGAACAAGGUGUUCCCAAGCCUUCACGCUGCAUACUGAUACUGUGCUC